rnacentral:rRNA from 1 species
AGCGAACGCUGGCGGCAGGCCUAACACAUGCAAGUCGAACGAACUCUUCGGAGUUCGUGGCGGACGGGUGAGUCACACGUGGGAACGUGCCUUUAGGCUCGGAAUCACCCAGGGAAACUUGUGCUAAUCCCGAAUGUGCCCUUCGGGGGAAAGAUUUAUCGCCUUUAGAGCGGCCCGCGUCUGAUUAGCUAGUUGGUGAGGUAAAGGCUCACCAAGGCGACGAUCAGUAGCUGGUCUGAGAGGAUGAUCAGCCACAUUGGGACUGAGACACGGCCCAAACUCCUACGGGAGGCAGCAGUGGGGAAUCUUGCGCAAUGGGCGAAAGCCUGACGCAGCCAUGCCGCGUGAAUGAUGAAGGUCUUAGGAUUGUAAAAUUCUUUCACCGGGGACGAUAAUGACGGUACCCGGAGAAGAAGCCCCGGCUAACUUCGUG